rnacentral:rRNA from 1 species
CGAAAGCCUGACGGAGCAACGCCGCGUGUGGGAAGAAGGCUCUUGGGCUGUCAACCACUUUUCUCAGGGAAGAAGAUCUGACGGUACCUGAGGAAUCAGCCUCGGCUAACUCCGUGCCAGCAGCCGCGGUAAUACGGAGGAGGCAAGCGUUAUCCGGAAUCAUUGGGCGUAAAGCGUUCGUAGGCGGCUGUUCAAGUCUGCUGUCAAAGACCGAGGCUCAACCUCGGGUCGGCAGUGGAAACUGGAUAGCUAGAGGUCGGUAGGGGCAAAGGGAGUUCCCAGUGUAGCGGUGAAAUGCGUAGAGAUUGGGAAGAACACCGGUGGCGAAAGCGCUCUACUGGGUCGCACCUGACCCUCAGGGACGAAAGCUAAGGGAGCG